rnacentral:snRNA from 1 species
AUGCUUGCUUCAGCAGCACAUAUACUAAAAUCAGAACGAUACAGAGAUUAGCAUGGCCCUGAACAAGGAUGACACACAAAUUCGUGAAGCAUUUCAUAUUUUU